UUUACAGACUUUCAAGCCGCCCCCUCCUUUAAGGGGUGGUGAUGCAUCAGUGAACUCUGUUCAUCUGUUUCCAAAAAAUACUGAACACAUAUUAGUAUGCAACAAGACAUCAUCAAUUUACCUCAUGACUCUUCAAGGACAGGUGGUGAAGAGCUUUUCAUCUGGUAAAAGAGAAGGUGGAGACUUUGUUGCUGCCUGUGUUUCACCAAAAGGAGAAUGGAUCUACUGUGUUGGUGAAGACAUGAAUCUGUAUUGUUUCAGCCAUCAAUCUGGUAAACUAGAACACUUGAUGAAGGUGGGUAUUCUCUGUUACAGUAGAUUGUGUCUCUAGAGAUGUAGCAUCUUCUAUUAUCAAGUGAAACAAUUAAAUGUUUACAUACAGUCAUAUAUACGUUGUUGCAAAGUAUUUUGUGGUGAGAUUUGGAUUCGCUCACCUCAAACUGAGAAGAAGGGGGAACUCUAACCAACUAAUCUGAACUGUGUGCUGAACUUUUUUGCAAAUUAGUAUUAGAUUUGGAGUGUUUUACAGUCUUUAGGAGUAAACUAGGAAUAAAAAAAAAACAUUCAGGGUGUAUGGAAUAUUAUAGUAGGAAUGUGUCUACCAGCAGUAACCAUAAUUUUAGCAUGCAACAACAACAACAAGCCUUUGUCCCAUUGCGUGGGGUUGGCUACAUGAAUCCUUUCUCCAUUGUGUCAUGUUAAAAGUCGAAUUCUCAUUUAAAUCUAA